rnacentral:rRNA from 1 species
CCUACGGGACGCAGCAGUGGGGAAUAUUGCACAAUGGGGGAAACCCUGAUGCAGCGACGCCGCGUGAGUGAAGAAGUAAUUCGGUACGUAAAGCUCUAUCAGCAGGGAAGUAAAUGACGGUACCUGAGUAAGAAGCCCCGGCUAACUACGUGCCAGCAGCCGCGGUAAUACGUAGGGGGCAAGCGUUAUCCGGAUUUACUGGGUGUAAAGGGAGCGUAGACGGCGAGACAAGUCUGGAGUGAAAGGCCGGGGCCCAACCCCGGGACUGCUCUGGAAACUGCCUGGCUGGAGUACAGGCG